CCCCUUGUGAAAAGGGGGGCAUUUGCCCUAUAUAGGGGCUGUCGGGGCAACCCGACUACGGCGCUAAACUGCGUGACAGAAUAGGCUUUACGGACCCGGGGGCGGUACCCGGCGGCUCCACCAAAUUUAUCGGU
rnacentral:tmRNA from 1 species